AUCAGUUGGGGUUUUAUGAACAUAGAGUCUGACUCAUCCGCCUCAGAGUGGGGCCUGAGAUUCUGCAUUUCUAAUGAGUUCCCAGAUAAUGCUGCU
rnacentral:pre_miRNA from 1 species